GAGGUGUACAGUAAUGAUGCAGAGCAAAAUCAGUAGUUUGUAAUCUUAGAGUGUUUAUUUACACUGAUACUCACUUAUUUUUUUCUCAUCUGUUUCAGCCGAACAAACUUGUUCACCUUGGAGCUACAAAUACUGGUGAUUUGAGAUUUGAGCUCAUCCUCCACUGUUCCUGCACAAGCAAGGACCAGAAAAAUGAAUAUCCAGGGGAAAGGCUUCCCCUUGGACCUCGGAGGAAGCUUCACUGAAGAUGCUCCGAGGCCACCUGUGCCUGGUGAGGAGGGGGAACUCGUGUCCACAGAUCCAAGGCCAGUUAACCACGGUUUCUACUCCGGUAAAAGCGAUGUGGUUAGAAAUGAGAUGUCCACAGCAACACCGAGGCGUUCCGAUUUGGAUUUGGGGUACGAGCCCGAGGGGAGUGCUUCGCCAACUCCACCCUACCUGAAGUGGGCCGAGUCCCUGCACUCCUUGCUGGAUGAUCAAGAUGGUAUCAACCUCUUCAGGACUUUCCUGAAACAGGAGGACUGUGCGGAUCUGCUGGACUUUUGGUUUGCCUGCAGCGGCUUCAGGAAGCUGGAGCCGUGCGUGUCUAACGAGGAAAAAAGACUCAAGCUGGCAAAAGCCAUUUACAAAAAAUACAUCCUCGACAACAACGGCAUUGUGUCCCGGCAGAUCAAACCAGCCACAAAAAGCUUCAUCAAAGACUGCGUCAUGAAACUGCAGAUUGACCCCGACAUGUUUGACCAGGCCCAAACGGAGAUUCAGUGCAUGAUAGAAGACAAUACCUACCCUUUGUUCCUUAAGUCGGAUAUUUAUUUGGAAUACACAAGGACAGGUGGGGAAAGUCCAAAAAUUUAUAGUGAUCCGAGCUCAGGGUCUGGGACAGGUAAAGGGCUACCUGGUUAUCUGCCGACUCUGAACGAGGACGAGGAGUGGAAGUGUGACCAAGAGGCCGAGCCCGAGGCCAGCAGGGACUCGGCGCCUUCCAGCAGGCUCACGCAGAAGCUGCUUCUGGAACCGGCCACCCAGCGUGCUGCCUCGGCUCGGCGCUACAGCGAGGGGAGGGAGUUCAGGCAUGGGUCGUGGAGGGAGCCUGUUAACCCUUACUAUGUCAACACGGGCUAUGCUUUGGCACCAGCGACCAGUGCCAAUGACAGCGAGCAGCAGAGCAUGUCCAGUGAUGCCGAUACGAUGUCGCUGACAGACAGCAGCGU